CUACGGGAUGCACCAGUGGGGAAUAUUGCACAAUGGGCGCAAGCCUGAUGCAGCCAUGCCGCGUGUAUGAAGAAGGCCUUCGGGUUGUAAAGUACUUUCAGCGGGGAGGAAGGGAGUAAAGUUAAUACCUUUGCUCAUUGACGUUACCCGCAGAAGAAGCACCGGCUAACUCCGUGCCAGCAGCCGCGGUAAUACGGAGGGUGCAAGCGUUAAUCGGAAUUACUGGGCGUAAAGCGCACGCAGGCGGGUUGUUAAGUCAGAUGUGAAGUCCCCGGGCUCAACCCGGGAACUGCAUCUGAUACUGGCAAGCUAGAGUCUCGUAGAGGGGGGUAGAAUUCCAGGUGUAGCGGUGAAAUGCGUAGAGAUCUGGAGGAAUACCGGUGGCGAAGGCGGCCCCCUGGACGAAGACUGACGCUCAGGUGCGAAAGCGUGGGGAGCAAACAGGAUUAGAUACCCUAGUAGUC
rnacentral:rRNA from 1 species